ensembl:lncRNA
GGCUGGGUGAGAAGGAGAGCUAGAGCAAUAGAAGGAGAACGCCAGACUGGGUGAAAAGGGAAAGGGGAGAGGAGAGACAGAGAGACCUAGAGACAGAGAUAAGAGAACGCAGAGGGAGAGACUGCGCGCCCGCCGAGCGCCAACUCCAUCAGAAGGCGUGCCUGCGAGAGGAGCUGUGAACUCGAGAGAUGAACCAAGGUUUGUGGUCAGUUGAUGGAUGGCCUUAGCUGACAAUGUCCUUUGGACGUACCUGUGGCAUCUUCCACGGAGGUCUAGUUAUGGAGCAGCCGGCCAGCAGGAAGCUACCAGCUCACUGUCUAAGCACCACGAGUGAAGAAAGUCCUGGAUGGGGACUGGGAGGGAAUCGUCAGUCCCAGGACUUGCCUCUCUCUGCUCCAUUCUGUCAAAAUGUAGUGAAACAGCGGGGAUCCACCUUCCACUCCACACAGCUGAGUAUCUUCCUUGAAGAUGAAAGAACAA